CAAACCCAUUAUUAGACUAGACGAUUAAAUUCAAUAAUUUUCCAUAAUUACAGAAAUAAGUUAAAAACAAGUAAGCAAAGGCUACAGUCGAGCGGGGCCGACCGUUGAAUACCCUACAACACUAUAAUAAACGAUACAGUUUAUAUAGGCGAGAAACUCGAAAGAAUUCCACAAUAUAUUGUGACAAAUAAUAAAAGAAAACCACCAGAUGUUGCACUUAAAUGGUCUUCCUAGAUCUGGAACCAAUAUUUCCCAAAGACCUAUAAUCUCUCAGAAGUGGCAAAAUAUUAACAUUUAUUAUUGGUUUUUGACUGAAACACAUCUAUAUGAGAUACAGUCAUUUGACUAUAUUCUUCAAAGAAAUCUGCGUUAACGAAAUAGUCAGAAGUGCGUCUUUCCUGUAUUUGUGAAUUCUCCAAAAAGUCACUGGAAUGGACAUUUUCGUAUUUUGUCUACAAAAGUUGGCAAUCCAAAACUGCAUGGCUUUUGCAAUGUCCGGUAAUCCCCAUUCAAAUGUGCGUGAGGAUCGGGCGAUAAUUACGACCUUCUGACAAUUUUGCAGUUUUUUUGGUCCAUUUCAACCCCUAAAUAUAUGGCGAUCAUCUCCAAAAAUAAUAGGCUUCUAUUCUGACCCUCAUCUUAUCCCCAUGCAAAAUUGCGUAAGGAUCAGGCCAUAAAUGCGAUCUGUAUAUGAUAUCCUAAUAUCCUAACUACUUAGUUUUGUUAGCUGUAGAAAUAUUACCAAAUGUUUAAUUCAAAAUGAAAAUAUGCCAAAAAUAUGACAAAAUGGAAAAAAUAUGAGAAAAUUUUACAAAAUCAA